rnacentral:rRNA from 1 species
UACGUAGGGGGCUAGCGUUGUCCGGAAUCAUUGGGCGUAAAGCGCGUGUAGGCGGCCCGGUAAGUCCGCUGUGAAAGUCGGGGGCUCAACCCUCGGAUGCCGGUGGAUACUGUCGGGCUAGAGUACGGAAGAGGCGAGUGGAAUUCCUGGUGUAGCGGUGAAAUGCGCAGAUAUCAGGAAGAACACCCGUGGCGAAGGCGGUUCUCUGGGACGGUACUGACGCUGAGACGCGAAAGCGUGGGGAGCGAACAGG